AAUCCAUAGGUUAAUGAGGCGAACCGGGGGAACUGAAACAUCUAAGUACCCCGAGGAAAAGAAAUCAACCGAGAUUCCCCCAGUAGCGGCGAGCGAACGGGGAGGAGCCCAGAGCCUGAAUCAGCAUGUGUGUUAGUGGAAGCGUCUGGAAAGGCGCGCGAUACAGGGUGACAGCCCCGUACACAAAAGCGCAUGUGCUGUGAGCUCGAUGAGUAGGGCGGGACACGUGGUAUCCUGUCUGAAUAUGGGGGGACCAUCCUCCAAGGCUAAAUACUCCUGACUGACCGAUAGUGAACCAGUACCGUGAGGGAAAGGCGAAAAGAACCCCGGCGAGGGGAGUGAAAAAGAACCUGAAACCGUGUACGUACAAGCAGUGGGAGCCCCACCACCAAAGCAUUUGCUGUACCGCGUUGACGGAGCGAAGCGACGUCAAACCGAUAAAACAGCAGUGUAAAGUGAGCCGCAGGGCGCUUUGCGCGACAGCGCAAAGGCAGGCGGUUUCGCGUAGCGAA
rnacentral:rRNA from 1 species